rnacentral:rRNA from 1 species
AGGUUACUGCUAUCGAGGUUCGACUAAGCCAUGCGAGUCGAAUGUAGCAAUACAUGGCGAACUGCUCAGUAACACGUGGACAACCUGCCCUUAGGUUGGGUAUAAACCCGGGAAACUGGGUAUAAUACCCGAUAGGUCUCGAUUGCUGGAAUGCAUCGAGAUUUAAAGCUCCGGCGCCUAAGGAUGGGUCUGCGGCCUAUCAGGUAGUAGUGGGUGUAGCGUACCUACUAGCCUACGACGGGUACGGGUUGUGAGAGCAAGAGCCCGGAGAUGGAUUCUGAGACACGAAUCCAGGCCCUACGGGGUGCAGCAGGCGCGAAAACUUUACAAUGCUGGCAACAGCGAUAAGGGAACCUCGAGUGCCAGGUUACAAAUCUGGCUGUCGAGAUGCCUAAAAAGCAUUUCAUAGCAAGGGCCGGGCAAGACCGGUGCCAGCCGCCGCGGUAACACCGGCGGCUCGAGUGGUAACCGUUAUUAUUGGGUCUAAAGGGUCUGUAGCCGGCCGGAUAAGUCUCUUGAGAAAUCUGGCAGCUUAACUGUCAGGCUUUCAGGAGAUACUGUCUGGCUCGAGGCCGGGAGAGGUGAGAGGUACUUCAGGGGUAGGGGUGAAAUCUUGUAAUCCUUGAAGGACCACCAGUGGCGAAGGCGUCUCACCAGAACGGACCUGACGGCAAGGGACGAAAGCUAGGGGCACGAACCGGGAUUAGAUACCCGGGUAGUCCUAGCCGUAAACGAUACUCGCUAGGUGUCGGCCACGGUGCGACCGUUGUCGGUGCCGUAGGGAAGCCGUGAAGCGAGCCACCUGGGAAGUACGGCCGCAAGGCUGAAACUUAAAAGGAAUUGGCGGGGGAGCACCACAACGGGUGGAGCUUGCGGUUU